rnacentral:rRNA from 1 species
CUAAUCCCCCAUAGGCCUGAGGUACUGGAAGGUCCUCAGGCCGAAAGGGGCUCUGCCCGCCCGAGGAUGGGCCGGCGGCCGAUUAGGUAGUUGGUGGGGUAACGGCCCACCAAGCCGAAGAUCGGUACGGGCCAUGAGAGUGGGAGCCCGGAGAUGGACACUGAGACACGGGUCCAGGCCCUACGGGGCGCAGCAGGCGCGAAACCUCCGCAAUGCGGGCAACCGCGACGGGGGGACCCCCAGUGCCGUGGCAACGCCACGGCUUUUCCGGAGUGUAAAAAGCUCCGGGAAUAAGGGCUGGGCAAGGCCGGUGGCAGCCGCCGCGGUAAUACCGGCGGCCCGAGUGGUGGCCGCUAUUAUUGGGCCUAAAGCGUCCGUAGCCGGGCCCGUAAGUCCCUGGCGAAAUCCCACGGCUCAACCGUGGGGCUUGCUGGGGAUACUGCGGGCCUUGGGACCGGGAGAGGCCGGGGGUACCCCUGGGGUAGGGGUGAAAUCCUAUAAUCCCAGGGGGACCGCCAGUGGCGAAGGCGCCCGGCUGGAACGGGUCCGACGGUGAGGGACGAAGGCCAGGGGAGCGAACCGGAUUAGAUACCCGGGUAGUCCUGGCUGUAAAGGAUGCGGGCUAGGUGUCGGGCGAGCUUCGAGCUCGCCCGGUGCCGAAG